rnacentral:rRNA from 1 species
AUUGAACGCUGGCGGCAUGCCUUACACAUGCAAGUCGAACGGUAACAGGUCUUCGGAUGCUGACGAGUGGCGAACGGGUGAGUAAUACAUCGGAACGUGCCCGAGAGUGGGGGAUAACGAGGCGAAAGCUUUGCUAAUACCGCAUACGAUCUCAGGAUGAAAGCAGGGGACCGCAAGGCCUUGCGCUCACGGAGCGGCCGAUAGCAGAUUAGGUAGUUGGUGGGAUAAAAGCUUACCAAGCCGACGAUCUGUAGCUGGUCUGAGAGGACGACCAGCCACACUGGGACUGAGACACGGCCCAGACUCCUACGGGAGGCAGCAGUGGGGAAUUUUGGACAAUGGGCGCAAGCCUGAUCCAGCCAUGCCGCGUGCAGGAUGAAGGCCUUCGGGUUGUAAACUGCUUUUGUACGGAACGAAAAGACUCUGGUUAAUACCUGGGGUCCAUGACGGUACCGUAAGAAUAAGCACCGGCUAACUCCGUGCCAGCCGCCGCAGUAAUAC